rnacentral:rRNA from 1 species
AUUGAACGCUGGCGGCAGGCCUAACACAUGCAAGUCGAGCGAGCGGCGGACGGGUGAGUAAUGUAUGGGGACUGCCCGAUAGAGGGGGAUAACUACGGGAACCGGUAGCUUAUACCGCAUACUUCCGAGAAACCAACAGGGGAUUAGCUAGUAGGGGAGGUAAUGGCUCAACUAGGCUACGAUCCCUAGCUGGUCUGAGAGGAUGAUCAGGCACACUGAGACUGAGACACGGCCCAGACUCCUACGGAGGCAGCAGUGGGGAAUAUUGCACAAUGGGCGCAAGCCUGAUGCAGCAAUGCCGGGUGUAUGAAGAAGGGCUUAGUGUUGUAAAGUACUUUCAUUCGGGAGGCGUUACCGACAGAAGAAGCACCGGCUAACUCCGUGCCAGCAGCCGCGGUAAUUC